rnacentral:rRNA from 1 species
AGAGUUUGAUCAUGGCUCAGGACGAACGCUGGCGGCGUGCUUAACACAUGCAAGUCGAACGGUAAGGCCCUUCGGGGUACACGAGUGGCGAACGGGUGAGUAACACGUGGGUAAUCUGCCCUGCACAUCGGGAUAAGCCUGGGAAACUGGGUCUAAUACCGAAUAGGACCACAGGACACAUGUCCUGUGGUGGAAAGCUUUUGCGGUGUGGGAUGGGCCCGCGGCCUAUCAGCUUGUUGGUGGGGUGAUGGCCUACCAAGGCGACGACGGGUAGCCGGCCUGAGAGGGUGUCCGGCCACACUGGGACUGAGAUACGGCCCAGACUCCUACGGGAGGCAGCAGUGGGGAAUAUUGCACAAUGGGCGAAAGCCUGAUGCAGCGACGCCGCGUGGGGGAUGACGGCCUUCGGGUUGUAAACCUCUUUCACCAUCGACGAAGGUCCGGGUUUUCUCGGGCUGACGGUAGGUGGAGAAGAAGCACCGGCCAACUACGUGCCAGCAGCCGCGGUAAUACGUAGGGUGCGAGCGUUGUCCGGAAUUACUGGGCGUAAAGAGCUCGUAGGUGGUUUGUCGCGUUGUUCGUGAAAUCUCACGGCUUAACUGUGAGCGUGCGGGCGAUACGGGCAGACUUGAGUACUGCAGGGGAGACUGGAAUUCCUGGUGUAGCGGUGGAAUGCGCAGAUAUCAGGAGGAACACCGGUGGCGAAGGCGGGUCUCCGGGCAGUAACUGACGCUGAGGAGCGAAAGCGUGGGGAGCGAACAGGAUUAGAUACCCUGGUAGUCCAA